CUUGGCAAUAGAGCUCUUUCUGAUUCUGAUUCUGAUUCUGUAGAUCAAUAGGCUUUCUUCAGAUAGCGAUAAAAUCUUUCUAUUUUACUGUUACUUUUGGCAUAGUAAGGUGAAGCCUUGAUAUGCUUUACUUCACUAGUUUUCAGAAAUGCCUCAAAGAUUUCCCUACAAACUGCUUGCCAUUAUUAGUCACUAACUCUAAUGGAUACACAAAUCAUCCUAAGAUUUCAUAAUUUCCUAGGUAACCUUGUUUGGUCCAGUGUCUAGUGAAAGCUCUAAGAGAUGCAGCGGUUGAUCUUCAUGCAAGGGUUGAUUUCAGAAAACACUCAUUACAAUUUUUGAUCAUUCCUUCUACAUCCAUAUUCUACAUAAUGUAUUCUACAUGUCCACAUUAGGCCAAUAUAAUUCAAAAGUGUUUUGUGCAAAUUAUACCUUGAUGUGUCUCCUGUUAUUUUCAAAGCUUGUUGGAUCUGUGGAGAAGGGAGAACUAUCCUGUGUCCCCACAGUAAGAGACCAUCAUGGGUUAACAAUUCUUUUGAGCAUCGUUUGUAUGGCUGUAAGCUUUCAGGAAGUGUAGCAGUGUAGUUGUCUCCACAAUGGAAAUCAGUAGUGUCAAGGUAGUAUCUGCCAUUGUAGCACUUUUAAGUUCCUCAAGAUUCAAGGCUUGAAUAUCCAUCAUAUUUACAGCAAGCACUCUAUCUGAGAGUAACACUGUGGGUGUCAGAGACCAGCUCGCACAUGCCACAGAUUUUUUAGCUCCAUCUUCUUGUGUCUGAAGCAAAACUGCUCCAAGUCCGACUGGAUUUGCAUCACUGAUUACAAAUGUUGGAGCAUUUAUGUUAAAGUAUGCUAGCAUGGCUCACUACUUAAUUCCUUUUUCAGUCCUUUAAAUGCAUUUUCUGCUUCAGAUGACCACUGCCAUUCUUGUCCUUGUCUGGUAAGUUUUCUAAAAGGCUCAGACAGAUUUGCGUAAUUUGGCACAAACUUCAUCAAAAAUCCACAAGUGCCUAGAAACAAAUGUAACUGUGUGCCAUUUUUAGGACUGGGAGCAUUUCAAACUGCUUCAACUUUUCAUUGAUCUGUUUUUUUUUUGUCCGUUGUGAUAACAUAACCUAAAAUCUCAAUCUGCUUAAGUUAAAAUAUAUAUAUUUUUCCUCAGUGCCUCAGGUCAGUGCCUUUUUCCUGAAAUCUUUGAAAAACUUUGUUCAGUCUUUGUUCCAGCUCCUUUACAUUUUCAGCAAAUACAACCACAUCUUCCAUGUAGCACACCACACCUGGCAUCCCAUAUAACAAAGAAUCCAUGGCUUUCUGGUUUGCUUCAGGAGCACUAGACAAUCCAAAUGGAACCUUCUUAAAACAAUAGCAUCCUCUGUGUGUAAUGAAUGUGGUCAAUUUUCUGGAUUCAGGUGCAAUGUUAACUUGCCAAAAGCCUUUGCGGUUAUCCAGUUUUGCAAACACCUUUGCUCCCUGCAUUGCUUGCAGUAUACUGUGUAUUGUUGGUACUGGAUGUCUUUCUCUUAUCACCGCUUUGUUCACCUCUCUGAAAUCUGAGUCUCACUUCUUUAGUGUCCUUUUUUUUGGAAUGAGAAGAAUGUUGGACACCCACUCAGAUCCUUUGUGGACUUCCUCUAUUAUUCCAUCUUCCAGCAUUUUAUCCAGCUCCUGAUUUACAGCCUCUACCAUUAGAAAAGGUACUCUCCUUAUAGCUUGAGCUACAGGUGUGACCUUUUCAUUCACAGAGAUUUUAUAGCUGUAACCUUUGAUUUGUCCCCGUUCAUUAAAAAAGACUGACAUUCAGCUUCCAGUUUUGAAAAUCUUUCAGAUUAAUUUUCAAUUGCACUGACAUGGUCUGCUGGUAUGAGACAGUCAAAGCAGGACUGUAUUCCCAACAGCAGCUCCAUUUCUUUUGAUUACAAAAGUUUAAUCUUUUGUGUCAUUACCCUUCCAUUCAAAAUGAGCUUAAAAAAACCCACACAGUGAAGAGGGUCCAUCUGUGAAUGGGCAUAGAUUUUUCUCUUGGUUUGUUUUAGUUCAACUCUUUGUGCAAACAGUCUUCAAUACAGUUCUUCUCCAAUUAAAUUUCUUCCACUUCCUGUAUCUAUGACCAUCUUCAAUCUUUGUCCAUUAACUCGUAUGGUCUCUUUUCCUUCUGGGUCAAUUGAAUACACUAAUUCAUCAUCAGAAUUGUUGUUUACUGCUCUCACUGGUUUUUCUUUGAGUCUGACUUGUCUUUGGCCUUAUAUUUGUCCCUUUUAUGGUCCUGUGAGUUGUUUUUCUGUCUGAAAACACAUGCAUUAUUUUUUUUGGUUGUUUUUUUGCAAGAUAGGCAGGGUGCUGAUUUUGCUCCACACCCUACAAACGGAACAUCCCCUGGACAUUGCAAAUCAUCAGACCUGACACCUUGCAACUCAGAAAUAGGAAAAAUUAAUCUAAAAUAUAAACCUAUGGAUUUUAAGGGUGAUGUGGUUAUUCCUUUUUUUUCUUCUUUUUUUUGCUGUAGUAAAAAUAAUAGAUUUGAAUUAAUUGUAAAAUUAAGUUAAUGUUAAAAAUAAAUAACUUUAAUUUCUGGAAAAAAUUAUAAAAUAAAGGAGUGACUUCUGUAAUUAAAGAUGUCAUCAAAUCACGAGCCUGUUUUUGGCAGUUAGGCUAUCAUUUAAACAUCAAAAACAUGAUACCUUUCAGUAAUAUAAUUGAAUGUAGGCUACAAUUUAUUACUGUAGGUCCUAUGUAUUCCUCAUGCAUGAAGAAAAGAAGUUUGAAUCCCAGGAGCUCUAAAACGUUAGAUUCAACUAAUGAAUGCAGCCAAGGAAAACAUGAAGAAUAGAAAAGCACAUUGCUGGAAAAUAAAGUGGAAAAUAAUGCAUGCAGCAUGUAUCCAUGGCAACGCUCAUCUGCGUAGAGACAGUUAAGUGAUUUCCUCACACACGGCCUUGAGUUUUCUCUUUCGUCAGUUGAAAAUGUAUUUUUAAUUUUAGAAUUGUAUAGUUUUAGAUUUGAAUAGUAACCACUGUGUAUCUUGUAGCCUAAUGUUUAAAUUUGAUGAAAAGUUUAAAACAUUUGCUUGUUGUUCUCCAUUGUGUAUGGCUGCUGACGUUAUGUGAACACUUAGCUAGCACGUAAAGCUGACAUUAGCUAUUAAAUUGAUCUAAUAUCGACAAAUAUUGAACUUAAGUAUUGAAUUUCCAUAUGGCAAAUACACACUGAGACUCGUACAUGUGACAAAAAGCUCAUUUGGUACAGCCUGUCUUGAUAUGUGCACAGAAUUUCGGACCUUGUUCUAAAUCCAAACUGUCAUUAGUCUUUACAAAUCUUUUUUCAAUGAACAAACGAUACUCCUAGAUAUAUAAAAUCACAACACUACUAAAUGUGUUCAUUUUAUUGUUUAAGAAGCCAAUGGGAAGAAUUGCUUUUGGACCCCACAUCUGACAACCAGAGACGCAUACACACGGAAAGAGCACUGCAUCUUUACAUUUGUUCAGUUAAAAUAAACAUAUUUUGCUCCUUACAACAUGUCUGUUUUCUUUGGUUAACCUGAAAGUAAAAGGCCCGGGGUCUGUGUCGGAGGUAGAGCGAUGACUGACCAAGGCUCGAGGGACGAGUGAGCCCAGUGGAACCUGAGGGGUGAUAAUGGUGACAAUGGUGGAACCGACGGAGCGUGGAGCCGACGCCUCAACAGACCUGGGUGGAGUCAUGGGCUCAGAGGCUUGACGUGGAGAAGGAGGAUCCGUGCACAAUGGCUGAGUUGAGGUUGGGGAAGUAUUAUGUAACCAAGGUUACCAGUGGAAUAACAGAAAAAAUAUUGUUAUUAAUAUAACAAUAUAAUAAUGGGAGAGUUAUUAAAAAGUAUUCAAAAUUAGUAAUUUCAUAAAAGAAAAAUAUUACUUUCAUACCAACGUAUAUUUUCAUUUGGGUAAUACUAAUGGUGAUGAGUUAUAAACUUGAGACGAGCCAAUACGAGCGCAGAAUCUGGCGCUGCGGAAGAAUUGAUUUCCGGGUUUUGAAGUUAAGAGGCAACUCUCUCUCUCGUGAACGGAUGCCUGAUGAGCGCUGUGUCUCGAUGCUCCGGGAAACAGAAAUAUAGAAAAUAGCCUUAUAGAUGAGUUUGGUCGAUGGAUUGAUGGUAAAGGGAGCAAUUGUAAUGGGGCGUGCUGUGCCUGCACCAUUCUGGAAUUUUCUGAGUUAAACGAUCUCCUUGGUCAGGUUUUCUUUUUUUCUUCUGUUGUUCUGUCUUUUCCAAAUUCGCUGUGUAUACUGGAUUUGUCCCGGCCUUCCAGUGGUUCUGAGGAGGGUUUGGACUGGCGAGCCUCCCUUGAGUUUGUUCUUGGAUCUUUCUGUUGAAGAAGUAUUCACACUGAUUGAACUGCGAAUGGUAGGAAAAAGACUAACUUUCCUCAUCUUUUUUUUUUUUUUUUCCCGGAUGGAGACCUUUUUCAUUACCAACAGAAAAAGGACAAUUAUUAUUAUUUUUUUUCCUCUAAAAACUUUCCAAAGCACUCUUUCACAAGGACUGCACAUUCUGAUUGGAUUCCAUCUGAAAAAAAAAAAAAAACAUUUGUUGUGUAAUUGGGUUGUAUGUUUUUUAUUUGGGAUUUACCUUGUUGAAACCCAAAGAGAAAAAAAAUGAGACCUAAAGUGUUGAGAUCUUACAUUCUGGUUGAAAAAGAAAUACAUAUCUACAUUUGAUUUUAUUUCAUUUUAUUUGUUAUCAACCAAUGUAAUUCACCUGUUGUCAUUCACCUGAAAAUACAGUGUGUGUUCAAACGAGUUUUCACUGUUGUUGUGGCAUCUUUCUCAGCAGCGAAUCUGUUUCUUCUGAAACGCUGGUCCAUAGAUUGCAUUAGGUUAAUAGCCGGAGAGUAAGCGCUACAAUUAGGCAGAGUCAGGAAACUGGAUGAAACCAGCAAAGGGUCUUUUUAAGGGUCUUGUGAUUGGGAUAAGGUGACCAGAUUUCUCAAAUGUAAACUAGUGACAUUUCCUAGUUCAGUAGUCAAGGUUUGAUAUGCUGCUAUUAAAAUGAAUAAGUAGGGAUCCAAGUGUGAAGCACUGAAACCCUAUUGGAAUUGUAAGGAUUUUUUUUUAUUAUUAUUCCGGACAAGGCGCAAGACCUUUACUAUUAGCUAUUAUUAUUUGGUAACAAGAUCGGCAGUUUAAGCCAUCAACUUUGUAAGCACAUAAAACAAGACACUUUUCUUUAAAUACAAACAAACAAUGCUUAUUGAACAAUUCUAAGCACAUGUAAACUAAAACAUGUAAACAAACACACAAACAAACACACUUUUUUUUCUUUUCUCUGUCAAACAAUUGCUCUGAACAAUCACAUAACUGAGGGAAAAGGAUUAAUCUAUUAUGUUAUCAGUUCAUCAAUUGAAAAAUAUAGUGAAAUACUAUAAUAAGGUUAUAUCUCUUAUGCAGAGACACAAAGUCAGUCAUACUGAUUGACAAAUGAGACCCAGGAGAGAUUUUAAAUUCCUAUAUGUUUAUCCCCCAAAGCCAUGAGCUAAAUUAAAAAGUGUUUACAGAGGCUUCUGGCUCAAUCCUCAAAAAAAUAAGGGAUCGUGAAACUAAGCUAUUGCUACUGAAGAUGUACCCACAGCCAAGACUGAAGUGUUAUGCAAUAUAAAAGUGAUAUGUAAUUAUGGCAGCUAAUUUUUGCAGAAGUAUUAGAUAAGAGACCAAACAUCUCUUAUAACUCCUUACUCAACAGUUCAGAUGUUGUAACACCUAAUUACUGUAGAUUGUACUUUGAUCAGAAUAAGAUGUAUGAAUGCAAAACAUGAUUAUAUAAGAAUGCACCUAAAAAUGAGCAUCAACAUUAUUUUAAAUAAAGGCCAAUUCACACUGCACCAACAGAUGCAGACCAAUCCCAACAGUCAACUGAGUACAGUAUGGCACUUCUCAGAUGUUCCAAGACACAAUAAACGGCAAUUCAACAUGUUCAGUUCGUGAAAGCAAGCACCGACCAAUGGCAACAGACACUGACAGGGGUAACACAUUGGUCCGAUGAAACCCAGCGUUUGUUGGACCAGUGUGUUACUGUUGCUGGUUGUCUGCUUCUGUCAGUGCAGUGUGAAUUGGCCCUAAAUGAAUAAUGUACAUUGAUGAAUCAUGCACAGUAAGACCAGAAACAUGUAAAUAUGGUCAAUUCUGAUUUAAUGUUUACUUCUUAAUGCCUGUACUAUUUGUGCCAGUUUAGGCUUUAUAGUGUCCUAACCAUUGUUUUAAGGCACAAAAAAUCUGAUUUGUUGAACACUUUGUAAUGCCAAGUGGAUGAAUGCAUACUAUGUUCAUAUACUUCUAAUAUUUAGUAAGAAUGCUCUCUCAAUUUACCUGCAUAUAAAUUUUCAAAUUGUUUAUAUGUGCAAGUCUAUAUUAUAUUAAUGUAGCAUAAGCUGAAGUUACCCUUUUGAAGAGACUAGCCAAUUGUGUCAGUAUAAAUAAAGUGAAAGUGACGUGACAUUCAGCCAAGUAUGGUGACCCAUACUCAGAAUUCGUGCUCUGCAUUUAACCCAUCCGAAGUGCACAC